rnacentral:piRNA from 1 species
UAUGCAGCUCGAGAAACAAGCUCUGG